rnacentral:rRNA from 1 species
UACGUAGGGGCCUAGCGUUGUCCGGAUUCACUGGGCGUAAAGGGUGCGUAGGCGGUCGGGUAAGUCUGAUGUGAAAUCUCACAGCUUAACUGUGAAACUGCAUUGGAUACUAUCCGGCUCGAGGAAUGGAGGGGAGACUGGAAUACUUGGUGUAGCAGUGAAAUGCGUAGAGAUCGUAAGGAAGACCAGUGGCGAAGGCGGGUCUCUGGACAGUUCCUGACACUGAGGCACGAAGGCCAGGGGAGCAAACGGG